rnacentral:rRNA from 1 species
GAUAACGGCUGGCGGCGUGCUUAACACAUGCAAGUCGAACGAUGAAAGCGGGAGCUUGCUCCUGCUGGAUUAGUGGCGAACGGGUGAGUAACGCGUGAGCAACCUGCCUUUCACAAAGGGAUAGCCUCGGGAAACUGGGAUUAAUACCAUAUAAAACUUGUCUUUCGCAUGAAAGAAAAGUCAAAGCGAAUAAGCGGUGAAAGAUGGGCUCGCGUCCUAUUAGCUAGUUGGUGAGGUAACGGCUCACCAAGGCGACGAUAGGUAGCCGGCCUGAGAGGGUGAACGGCCACACUGGAACUGAGACACGGUCCAGACUCCUACGGGAGGCAGCAGUGGGGAAUAUUGGGCAAUGGGCGAAAGCCUGACCCAGCAACGCCGCGUGAGGGAAGAAGGUCUUCGGAUUGUAAACCUCUGUUCUUGGUGACGAAAAAAGAUGACGGUAGCCAAGGAGAAAGCCCCGGCUAACUACGUG